GAUGAACGCUGGCGGCGUGCCUAAUACAUGCAAGUCGAGCGAACGGACGAGAAGCUUGCUUCUCUGAUGUUAGCGGCGGACGGGUGAGUAACACGUGGAUAACCUACCUAUAAGACUGGGAUAACUUCGGGAAACCGGAGCUAAUACCGGAUAAUAUUUUGAACCGCAUGGUUCAAAAGUGAAAGACGGUCUUGCUGUCACUUAUAGAUGGAUCCGCGCUGCAUUAGCUAGUUGGUAAGGUAACGGCUUACCAAGGCAACGAUGCAUAGCCGACCUGAGAGGGUGAUCGGCCACACUGGACCUGAGACGCGGUCCUGACUCCUACGGGAGGCAGCAGUAGGGAAUCUUCCGCAAUGGGCGGAAGCCUGACGGAGCAGCGCCGCGUGAGUGAUGAAGGUCUUCGGAUCGUAAAACUCUGUUAUUAGGGAAGAACAUAUGUGUAAGUAACUGUGCACAUCUUGACGGUACCUAAUCAGAAAGCCACGGCUAACUACGUG
rnacentral:rRNA from 1 species